CUGUAGCACUGACAUUUCAAUUAUAUUACGUCUAUUGAGAUAUGAUAGCUGUGAAAACAUCUCUGCUGCGUGUUGAUGAGUGGCCAAGAUAAGGAUCAGGUGUGAAAAAGCCAGCAAACGUAUCAAGCUUAACUGUCCAUAGUAGAAACCCCAACCUUAUUUGGUCAAAAUAUAAUUUAGUAAGCAAGUCAGGGAAGUAUAUAAGAUGAGUGUCAGGAGGGUCUGGGUCACUCAUCACUGAGUUAAGCCUUUGUAUUUUCCCUUAAAAAGUCAAGGCUGUGCGGUGUUUUCCAUUUGGAGCAGCGGUCUGCAGGUGCAAUCAUGAAGGCCACCUUCUCUCUGCUCUUCCUGAUCUUUGCCAUCACUUGCGCAAUGAUUACACAGGACACACCAUACGAAAAAUUCAUAGCUCAGCAUUACCAAAACGAAAUGACAGUGAAAGAGUGUAAUGAAAAGAUGGCUUUUAUCAACAAACGUUAUAAUUACAACCCUUGCAAAAGGGUCAACAGUGUCAUUUCUGCUUUGAGCCUGGACUCCGUCAACGCCGUUUGUGACGAGGAAGGGGAACCCUACCCCAUGCCGAAUCGCACAAAUCUUCAAAAAUCGUCGGAUCAAUUUCGUGUGAUCACCUGCAAUAGAUCAAACGAGAGUGGGUGCGAUUACACAGGAUCCGAAAGCAUGAGAUACAUCAUCGUUGGCUGCAAUGCCGGAAACUUACCUGUGCACUAUGAAGAAGAUCAUGAAUUUUAAGUGAAGAUACUUCUGACAUAUGUGAAGUUAAAAUGAUAAGGGCUAUGCUAAAAUUAAUGCACUCAUCUACCUGGAGCUUAUAACCAGUUGAAACAAUAUGCUUUACGACAGCAAUAAACAUCACUGCAAUAAAGGCUUUCACUGCAA